rnacentral:rRNA from 1 species
UUCCGUAGGGGUGACCUGCGGAUGGAUCAUUAACGUCAUUGAAAAUAGCGGACGAAAGUCUGUUACUUUUUAAUAAUGUACACCCUUGUGGUGAAUAUAGGAAAUUUUAGUAAUAGUUAUUGGUAGGCAUGUCCUUUAGGAUGUGUAUGCCGAUGCUAUUAGUAUUAAAGACACUAUUAUAAUUUAAUUAACUAAAGUAACCUUGUGAAUUAAAUGUUUAUUAACAUAAAUAUUUUUAUUACCAAGUAAAACAACGAGUAAUCUUAUACAACUGCUAGCAACGGAUCACUCGGCUCUCGCGUCGAUGAAGAACGUAGCGAACUGCGAAAAUUAAUGCGACCCGCAACACGUGGGUCAUCGAGAUCUUUGAACGCAUAUUGCACCCGACAGGUUCACUUGUCGGGUCUGCCUGUCUGAGUAUCAAUACGGACCCAAUCAAUAAAUAAUAUUUGUUGUGUUGGUGCUCAUUAAUUUAUUAAUGGAUUUGAAUGUUCAAUUACCUUUUGUUAAUUGAUUAUUUGAAAUGUAUUGGUAUUAGUCAAUCAGUUGAUAAUUGCCAACAGCUAUUAAGCAUUGUUAAUCAUCUUUUAUUAGAUGUUCAUUGCUCUACAAGUCGUUGGAAUCACGAUUAUUAGCCGCUGUGUAAAAGCAGUGUAGUAUUGAAUAGACCAAAAGCACACUUGUUAUUACAUUUUUUGUAGUGCAAGAGUACACUUUUAACCAUCUUGAUCUCAGAUCAGGCAGGAUGACCCGCUGAACUUAAGCAUAUCAAAAGUCGGGAAGGA